UCUGACCGGCCGGGCUGCGGAGCGGCUCCGCUCGCAGGUCCCGGGAGCCGCCGCCCGCUUCCUCCGCCCGCGGUGAGCCCGUCAAUCCCCGCACAACGCGCUCCUCCAUCUGGGCCAUGGAUGGCGGGGAUCUGAUGAGCUUCUUCCUUCUGGUGUCAUUAACGGACCUUCUACCAUGAACAAUUCUACUUCUGCAGCUAAUGGGAAUGACAACAAGAAAUUUAAAGGAGAUAGACCUCCCUGUUCGCCUUCCCGUGUUCUCCAUCUUCGAAAAAUUCCAUGUGAUGUCACCGAAGCAGAGGUCAUAUCAUUAGGUCUACCAUUUGGCAAAGUAACUAAUCUUUUGAUGUUGAAAGGAAAAAGCCAGG
rnacentral:lncRNA from 1 species